rnacentral:rRNA from 1 species
AUUGAACGCUGGCGGCAUGCUUUACACAUGCAAGUCGAACGGUAACAGGCCUUCGGUUGCUGACGAGUGGCGAACGGGGGAGUAAUGCUUCGGAACGGACCCACAGGCGGGGGGUAACGCAUCGAAAGCUGUGCUAAUACCGCAUGCGAGCUGAGGAUGAAAGCGGGGGACCGCACUGCAGUGAUUGGCCUUGCGUCUUUGUAGUAGAUGAUGUCGGGUCGCAUUAGCUAGUUGGUAAGGUAAAGGCUUACCAAGGCGACGAUGCGUAGCUGAUCUGAGAGGACGACCAGCCACACUGGAACUGAGACACGGCCCAGACUCCUACGGGAGGCAGCAGUGGGGAAUCUUCGACAAUGGGCGAAAGCCUGAUCCAGCAACGCCGCGUGCGGGAAGAAGGCCUUCGGGUUGUAAACCGCUUUUGGCAGGAAAGAAACGAUGUCUGAUAAAACCGGGAGGUAAUGACGGUACCUGAAGAGUAAGCAACGGCUAACUACGUG